rnacentral:misc_RNA from 1 species
GAUGAAGAGCGCAGCGAAAUGCGAUAAGUAAUGUGAAUUGCAGAAUUCAGUGAAUCAUCGAGUCUUUGAACGCACAUUGCGCCCCCUGGUAUUCCGGGGGGCAUGCCUGUCCGAGCGUCAUUGCUGCCCUCAAGCACGGCUUGUGUGUUGGGCCUCCGUCCUCCUCCCGGGGGACGGGCCCGAAAGGCAGCGGCGGCACCGCGUCCGGUCCUCGAGCGUAUGGGGCUUCGUCACCCGCUCUUGUAGGCCCGGCCGGCGCUUGCCGACACAUCAAUCUUUUUCCCAGGUUGACCUCGGAUCAGGUAGGGAUACCCGCUGAACUUAAGCAUAUCAAUAAGCGGAGGA